rnacentral:rRNA from 1 species
UCCUGGCCUAGGACGAACGCUGGCGGCGUGCUUAACACAUGCAAGUCGAACGAGGAUUACAUUGGAAGGGCUUCGGCCUGGAAGAUGUAAUUCGAGUGGCGGACGGGUGAGUAACGCGUGAACAAUCUGUCCCGGACAGGGGAAUAACACUUGGAAACAGGUGCUAAUACCGCAUAAGACCACGCCCUCGCAUGGGGAGGGGUAAAAGGAGCAAUCCGGUUCGGGGUGAGUUCGCGUCCGAUUAGAUAGUUGGUGAGGUAACGGCCCACCAAGUCGACGAUCGGUAGCCGACCUGAGAGGGUGAUCGGCCACAUUGGAACUGAGAGACGGUCCAAACUCCUACGGGAGGCAGCAGUGGGGAAUAUUGGGCAAUGGGCGAAAGCCUGACCCAGCAACGCCGCGUGAGUGAAGAAGGCUUUCGGGUUGUAAAGCUCUGUUAUAGGGGACGAAGGAAGUGACGGUACCCUAUAAGGAAGCCCCGGCUAACUACGUGCCAGCAGCAGC